AUUGAACGCUGGCGGAAUGCUUUACACAUGCAAGUCGAACGGCAGCACGGGGGCAGCCCUGGUGGCGAGUGGCGAACGGGUGAGUAAUACAUCGGAACGUGCCCGGUCGUGGGGGAUAACGUAGCGAAAGUUACGCUAAUACCGCAUACGAUCUGAGGAUGAAAGCGGGGGACCUUCGGGCCUCGCGCGAUCGGAGCGGCCGAUGUCAGAUUAGGUAGUUGGUGGGGUAAAGGCCUACCAAGCCGACGAUCUGUAGCUGGUCUGAGAGGACGACCAGCCACACUGGGACUGAGACACGGCCCAGACUCCUACGGGAGGCAGCAGUGGGGAAUUUUGGACAAUGGGCGCAAGCCUGAUCCAGCCAUUCCGCGUGCAGGACGAAGGCCUUCGGGUUGAAAACUGCUUUUGUACGGAACGAAAAGGCUCUGGCUAAUACCUGGGGCUCAUGACGGUACCGUAAGAAUAAGCACCGGCUAACUACGUG
rnacentral:rRNA from 1 species